UGUCGAAUUAUACCAGACCAUCAAUAGUUUCUGUCUGUAGUCUCUGUUGAUUAAAUAUUUGCUGAUGAACCCGUUGGACAUACAAAUACUUGGCUGCAUCAAAAAUUGUGUUUUCUGGAAACAGCUCAAUAUAAAUUACACUCCAUGGUUUCUGCCCUCUUAAGGAGCCUGAUCUCAUCUUACAUAUAUAAGAUUUGCAAAGGAAUGUUUACAAAGAAAUCGGGAAACAGUACAAAAAGGAAAGAGAGUUGUCAGAGCAAAAAGGAACAAGAUUUAACUCAGAUUGGACAAACAAAGAAUCCAAAAUUUUCUAAUACCUUAAAAAGCACUGUUAAAAAGAUUGCCAAGUGUCCAUCUGCUCGCAACUUAUCAACUGAAGAAGAGGAAAGUAACAAGGAAUUUUCCCUUUCUCCAACAUUCAGUUACAGAGUUGCUAUUGCAAAUGGACUGCAGAAGCAUGUUUUUGUAACAAACAAUAAUAACGAAGAUAUCGUUCAAGAUCUGUCUUCAAAUGAUAGUUCAUAUUCUGAGUCAUUAAGUGAAGUAAAAAGUAACAGCAAGAAAAACGAAUACUUAUCACACACGAUGCCUGUGAGACGCAACAGAAAAAGCUUGAGCAGCCUUGCACCAUCUGAUGGAAGUUCUGACGGAGAGCGUACUUUACACACGCUGAAGCUGGGAGCUUUACGAAAACUAAGGAAAUGGAAGAAGAGUCAAGAAUGUGUCUCAUCAGACUCAGAACUAAGUGCGUGGAGGAAAACAUGGGGCUUAAGAAGUAAAUCUCUAGACAGAACUGGCCGUCACCAGAAAUCAAAUACUCUUGAACCUGGCUUUAGCUCAACGAGUUGCAUCAGUCAGACCCAUGAUGUUAUGGAAAUGAUCUUUAAAGAGCUUCAGGGAAUAAGUCAAAUUGAAACAGAACUUUCUGAAUUAAGAGGACACGUUAAUGCUCUGAAACAAUCCAUCGAUGAAAUUUCUAGUAGUGUAGAAGUUGUACAAAAUGAAAUCGAACAAUUGCGAACUGGAUUUGUGCAGUCUAGAAGAGAAACGCGGGACAUACACGACUACAUUAAGCAGAUAGGGCAUCCAGGAAACAAAGCAAGUCUUAGGUUUCUAAAUGUGCCUGAAGAGAGACUUGAAACAACUGAAAGCACAGUUUACAAAAUAUUAAUAGAUAAAAUGGGGUUCUCGGAGGCACAAAGCACUAUAAAAAUUGAGUUUGCCCAAAGACUGGGGCAGCAAAGAGACUGUCCAAAUGCAAAGCCGAGACCAAUUCUUGUUUACUUCGAGUCAUCACAGCAGAGAGAUCUGAUUUUAAAAAAGUCUUAUAAACUUAAGGGAACUGGCAUUGGAAUUUCUACAGAUAUCUUUUCCCAUGACAUAAAAGACAAAAAAGAAAGAGGGCUACCUUCCUCUCAGACAUAUGAGAGCAUGGAUAUGAAACUUUUAACUGUGGAGACAAAAACUAAAAUGCAUGACUGGGAGUCACCUGACAGUGAUAAAGACUUGGAAUCAGAUAUAAAUAAGAACAGUUAUGCAAAGAUAUCUAAAUCUGCACUUCAAAUAAAAACAAGCACUACAAAGGGAAGUAUCAAGUCCCCAGAUAUGACAGACCUUAAUAGAACUGCUGACAGCAGCACCUUUUCAAACAGAGGAAAUUAUGACAACCAGUCACCAGAAUUUGACAACUUGGAAAAACAAUCAAAGACCUAUUAUUCAGACAUGACUCCUCUGUGGCAUUUACAGAAUGACUUUGCAACGCCGAAACUUAGCCGUUCAGAGUCGGAUUUCUCAAAAUUGUGUCAGUCUUACUCUGAGGAUUUUUCAGAAAAUCAGUAUUUUAGCAGAACAAAUGGCAGUUCACUGUUGUCUUCCUCUGAUCGAGAACUUUGGCAGCGAAAGCAAGAUGAUGCUACGAACUGGUAUGGCAGUUCCCAGGAUCAGACCUUUGUCCAAGAUAUGCAAGAGUAUCCAGAGCAAAAUGACGUAGAGAACACAGAAACUGCUGACAGUGGAUUAAGCAAUGGAAUAAUAUGUGCAUCUGGAGACAGAAGCCGCUAUAGUGAUUCUCAGCUUUCUUUACAUGAUGAUCUUUCCCCAUGGAAGGACUGGAAUCAGUUGAAACAAGGGGAAGAUUUGGGCCUAGACUCAUCCACACAGGAGGUUUUUGUGUAUGAUAUGAGCAGUCCUUCAGAUCAACAGACAGAUUUUGGGAAGUGCCAAAGUUCUGACCUCCAGUAUGAUACUGAAAGCUAUGAUUUUACCCUUGAUGGUACUUCUCCAUCAUGUCCAGGCCUUGAUAGUGAAUCACAAAGUCAGUGGACUGGUCAAUAUGAUGAAUAUCAGGAAACAAAUUCUAUCUCUUCCUAUCAGAAUCAAAACAGAUUGCCUAUGAUGUACCGCAGUCAGAGCGAACUCCCAAGCGAUGACUCGGAAGAAACAGCCCCUAAGUCGUGGCACAGCCGAUUAAGCAUAGAUCUUUCUGAUAAGACUUUCAGCUUUCCUAAAUUUGGAUCUACACUUCAACGCGCGAAGUCAGCUUUAGAAGUAGUCUGGAAUAAAAGCACACAAAGUUUAAGUGGGUAUGAAGACAGCGGAUCAUCUUUCAUGGGAAGGUUUAGAACUUUAUCUCAGUCUACUGCGAAUGAGUCGAGUACAACACUCGAUUCUGAUGUUUAUGCCGAGCCUUAUUGCUACAAAGCAGAGUAUGAGGAGGACUUGGUUGAACCACCUGGUGAGAACGAAACAGACUAUGUAGAAGUAAUGGAACAAGUCCUUGCUAAACUAGAAAAUAGAACUAAUAGUAGUGAAACUAGUGAGCAGGUCCAGGACUAUGAACUGGGGCAGCCUUCGUAUGAAACCCCAUAUGCCAUACUACCAGAGGAACAAUAUGACAUUCAGUUUGACAGUGUGGUCAGUGGAGAGAUAUUGGAAGUUGAAAGGGAUGUGGCUGCUGACAUAGAAGUAAGGGAAGAUGAAAAUCAGAAUGUCCCCGAGGUGCUUGUUGAAACCCCAAAGAAAAAAAGAAUACGACCAUCAUUUAAAGAAGCUGCUUUAAAAGCGUACAAGAAACAAAUGAAUGAUAUGGAAGAGAAGAUCCUUGCUGGAGGUAAUAGUAUUUUAAUAACAUCUUUUAAGUGA